rnacentral:rRNA from 1 species
CCUACGGGACGCAGCAGUGAGGAAUAUUGGUCAAUGGGCGCGAUUCUGAACCAGCCAUGCCGCGUGCAGGAAGAAGGUGCUAUGCAUUGUAAACUUCUUUUAUACGGGGGCAAUUACAGAUACGUGUAUCUGGAUGAGAGUACCGUAUGAAUAAGGAUCGGCUAACUCCGUGCCAGCAGCCGCGGUAAUACGGAGGAUCCGAGCGUUAUCCGGAUUUAUUGGGUUUAAAGGGUGCGUAGGCGGUCAGGUAAGUUAGAGGUGAAAUCUCGGGGCUCAACAUCGA